AUUGAACGCUGGCGGCAUGCCUUACACAUGCAAGUCGAACGGCAGCACGGAGCUUGCUCUGGUGGCGAGUGGCGAACGGGUGAGUAAUAUAUCGGAACGUACCCUAGAGUGGGGGAUAACGUAGCGAAAGUUACGCUAAUACCGCAUACGAUCUAAGGAUGAAAGUGGGGGAUCGCAAGACCUCAUGCUCGUGGAGCGGCCGAUAUCUGAUUAGCUAGUUGGUAGGGUAAAAGUCUACCAAGGCAUCGAUCAGUAGCUGGUCUGAGAGGACGACCAGCCACACUGGAACUGAGACACGGUCCAGACUCCUACGGGAGGCAGCAGUGGGGAAUUUUGGACAAUGGGCGAAAGCCUGAUCCAGCAAUGCCGCGUGAGUGAAGAAGGCCUUCGGGUUGUAAAGCUCUUUUGUCAGGGAAGAAACGGUGGGAGCUAAUAUCUCUUGCUAAUGACGGUACCUGAAGAAUAAGCACCGGCUAACUACGUGCCAGCAGCCGCGGUAAUACGUAGGGUGCAAGCGUUAAUCGGAAUUACUGGGCGUAAAGCGUGCGCAGGCGGUUUUGUAAGUCUGAUGUGAAAUCCCCGGGCUCAACCUGGGAAUUGCAUUGGAGACUGCAAGGCUAGAAUCUGGCAGAGGGGGGUAGAAUUCCACGUGUAGCAGUGAAAUGCGUAGAUAUGUGGAGGAACACCGAUGGCGAAGGCAGCCCCCUGGGUCAAGAUUGACGCUCAUGCACGAAAGCGUGGGGAGCAAACAGGAUUAGAUACCCUGGUAGUCCACGCCCUAAACGAUGUCUACUAGUUGUCGGGUCUUAAUUGACUUGGUAACGCAGCUAACGCGUGAAGUAGACCGCCUGGGGAGUACGGUCGCAAGAUUAAAACUCAAAGGAAUUGACGGGGACCCGCACAAGCGGUGGAUGAUGUGGAUUAAUUCGAUGCAACGCGAAAAACCUUACCUACCCUUGACAUGGCUGGAAUCCUUGAGAGAUCAGGGAGUGCUCGAAAGAGAACCAGUACACAGGUGCUGCAUGGCUGUCGUCAGCUCGUGUCGUGAGAUGUUGGGUUAAGUCCCGCAACGAGCGCAACCCUUGUCAUUAGUUGCUACGAAAGGGCACUCUAAUGAGACUGCCGGUGACAAACCGGAGGAAGGUGGGGAUGACGUCAAGUCCUCAUGGCCCUUAUGGGUAGGGCUUCACACGUCAUACAAUGGUACAUACAGAGCGCCGCCAACCCGCGAGGGGGAGCUAAUCGCAGAAAGUGUAUCGUAGUCCGGAUUGUAGUCUGCAACUCGACUGCAUGAAGUUGGAAUCGCUAGUAAUCGCGGAUCAGCAUGUCGCGGUGAAUACGUUCCCGGGUCU
rnacentral:rRNA from 1 species